CCUACGGGCGGCAGCAGUGAGGAAUAUUGGUCAAUGGCCGUAAGGCUGAACCAGCCAAGUCGCGUGAAGGAAGAAGGAUCUAUGGUUUGUAAACUUCUUUUAUAGGGGAAUAAAGGUAUCCACGUGUGGAUAUUUGCAUGUACCCUAUGAAUAAGCAUCGGCUAAUUCCGUGCCAGCAGCCGCGGUAAUACGGAGGAUCCGAGCGUUAUCCGGAUUUAUUGGGUUUAAAGGGUGCGUAGGUUGGUUUUUAAGUCAGGGGUGAAAGUUUGUGGCUCAACCAUAGAAUUGCGGUUGAAACUGGAAGGCGUGAGUGUGUUAGAGGUAGGCGGAAUGCGUGGUGUAGCGGUGAAAUGCAUAGAUAUCACGAAGAACUCCGAUUGCGAAGGCAGCUUACUGAGCCAUAACUGACGCUGAGGCACGAAAGCGUGGGGAUCAAACAGGAUUAGAUACCCGGGUAGUC
rnacentral:rRNA from 1 species